rnacentral:rRNA from 1 species
GAUGAACGCUGGCGGCGUGCCUAAUACAUGCAAGUCGAGCGAACAGACGAGGAGCUUGCUCCUCUGACGUUAGCGGCGGACGGGUGAGUAACACGUGGAUAACCUACCUAUAAGACUGGGAUAACUUCGGGAAACCGGAGCUAAUACCGGAUAAUAUAUUGAACCGCAUGGUUCAAUAGUGAAAGACGGUUUUGCUGUCACUUAUAGAUGGAUCCGCGCCGCAUUAGCUAGUUGGUAAGGUAACGGCUUACCAAGGCAACGAUGCGUAGCCGACCUGAGAGGGGGUUCGGCCACCCUGGAACUGAGCCCCGGGCCAACCCCCUAGGGGGGGCAGAGGUAGGGAAUCUUCCGAAAUGGGCGAAAGCCUGCCGGAGCAACGCCGCGUGGGUGAUGAAGGUUUUCGGAUCGUAAAACUCUGUUUUUGGGGAAGAAAAAAUGUGUAAGUAACUAUGCACGUCUUGACGGUACCUAAUCAGAAAGCCCCGGCUAACUCCGU